GACGGAGGAUGCAAGUGUUAUCCGGAAUCACUGGGCGUAAAGCGUCUGUAGGUGGUCAAAUAAGUCAACUGUUAAAUCUUGAGGCUCAACCUCAAAAUCGCAGUCGAAACUAUUAGGCUAGAGUAUAGUAGGGGUAAAGGGAAUUUCCAGUGGAGCGGUGAAAUGACGUAGAGAUUGGAAAGAACACCGAUGGCGAAGGCACUUUACUGGGCUAUUACUAACACUCAGAGACGAAAGCUAGGGUAGCAAAUGGG
rnacentral:rRNA from 1 species